UCGACUGCUUCAUUCACGUCACGCAUCACGCGUGGAUUUCGUUGAUUGACAUGACGUUAGUGCAGGUUUGCGUUAGUGCUAGUCCGUCGUUCUUGUCUUUUCUUUAACGUAUAUACGAUUAUACGUUAGUUAGUCAUUACAGGGUACACUUUUUCCUGACAUUUUUCGUCAUAAGGUAACAUAGCGUACAAUUUAUACUUUGCAAUUCCAUCUGACCAUGUGGCCUGGAAGGCUGUAACUGCUGUACAAUUUUCCAAAAUGUCGUCUCUUGCUGCAUUCACCGGCUUUACGUUUCCUUUUAUGCAGAAAUACUUUAGAACAGUAAAAGCAGCCUGGUGAAGUCUGAGCUUCUUCAUUGCAGUCCAAUAUGCACAUGGAUUUGUUGCAGUUAGCUGGCGAAAGGUGUUCCUCUUGCGGUUGCAGGCUUGCUACCUGUACCAGUUGUAACUUUCAUCACAUGCAGAAAAAGAACAAUUUAAAGUAAUUAUGUUGGUAAACUUUUUUAAAGUAAGGCUACACAUUUACUUUGUUGAUGACUAGCUCUUGGACUUUAGUUUUGUUGACUUUUCAGUUAAGACUCUUUUCAUAAGCUUGCCAACUGUUGAUUUCUUUGUUACAUUCAUAAAAGUAAUUAUGUUGGAUUGCUUGGUUGAAUGAUAUUUGAUUAUUUUUUAUUUUUAUACAGCAUUUCCAUUGAUACAAAAGAUGAAUUUCAUU
rnacentral:lncRNA from 1 species